GAUGAACGCUGGCGGCGUGCCUAAUACAUGCAAGUCGAGCGAACAGACGAGGAGCUUGCUCCUCUGACGUUAGCGGCGGACGGGUGAGUAACACGUGGAUAACCUACCUAUAAGACUGGGAUAACUUCGGGAAACCGGAGCUAAUACCGGAUAAUAUAUUGAACCGCAUGGUUCAAUAGUGAAAGACGGUUUUGCUGUCACUUAUAGAUGGAUCCGCGCCGCAUUAGCUAGUUGGUAAGGUAACGGCUUACCAAGGCGACGAUGCGUAGCCGACCUGAGAGGGUGAUCGGCCACACUGGAACUGAGACACGGUCCAGACUCCUACGGGAGGCAGCAGUGGGGAAUCUUCCGCAAUGGGCGAAAGCCUGACGGAGCAACGCCGCGUGAGUGAUGAAGGUCUUCGGAUCGUAAAACUCUGUUAUUAGGGAAGAACAAUUGUGUAAGUAACUAUGCACGUCUUGACGGUACCUAAUCAGAAAGCCACGGCUAACUACGUG
rnacentral:rRNA from 1 species